CCUACGGGUGGCAGCAGUGGGGAAUAUUGGGCAAUGGGCGCAAGCCUGACCCAGCAACGCCGCGUGAAGGACGAAGGCUUUCGGGUUGUAAACUUCUUUUGACAGGGAAGAGUAGCGGACGGUACCUGUCGCAUCAGCCACGGCUAACUACUUGCCAGCAGCCGCGUUAAUACGUAGGUGGCAAGCGUUGUCCGGAUGUACUGGGUGUCACGGGCGGGUAGCCGGGUUGACAGGUCAGAUGUGAAAUCCUGCGGCUGAACCGCAGAACUGCAUUUGAAAAUGUUGAUCUUGAGUACUGGAGAGGCAGAAGGAAUUCCUAGUGGAGCGGUGAAAUGCGCAGAUAUUAGGAG
rnacentral:rRNA from 1 species